rnacentral:pre_miRNA from 1 species
UAUAAGUUGUUUUGACUUUUUUUAAAGUUAAUGUUUUUAGAUUUAACAUAGUUUCAACACAAAACAAAGAAACUAUCAAGAUAUUUUCAAUGUUGGAUGUAAUAAAACUAAAUUGGUGUUAUAAAUGAUACUAUAUUUUUUUAUAAUUUUGGUCAAACAUUCAAGAAGUUUGACUUUAAAAAAGUCAAAACGAUUUAUA